ensembl:Mt_tRNA
GCCUUUUUAAUACAUUUAAUAUAGUUGGGUUCCAACCAACCAAACCUGGUAUAAAUCCAAGAAAAGGCAC